ACAAACUGUCUGAAUGCUUGGCCCGCUUGGCCCACAGGAAGUGACACUAUUGGAAGGCGUGGCCUUGCUGGAGGAAGUGCUCGGAUGGGCUUUGAGGUCUCCUAUGCUCAAGCUAUACAGUGUGGCACAUGGUCUCCUUCUGCUGCCUGCGGGUCAAGAUGCAUUGGCUACUCCAGCACCGUGUCUGCCUGCUUCCCACCAUGAUGAUGGACUAAACCUCUGAACCAUUCGAGACAGCCAGAUGACACUGUUCCCAACUGCGGUUACCAUCGGAUCUGUACAUCUCUUCUCACAGCCAGGGAGCGGAAAUCAAAGCUUGGCGCAGUUGGCACCCUGCAUAAAAGCCGCCACACAAAGGAUCUAACCCUGCGGUCCUAGCAUGGCCUCAGAGUUUCAGCAAUCAUCCUGCCCGGCCUCCAGAGAGCUGGAUUACAAGUGUGAACCCUCCCACAUUUAUUGUUAGAUAGGCU